rnacentral:miRNA from 1 species
CUGGAUCUGCUUUGCGUCUCAUG